rnacentral:rRNA from 1 species
AUUAUUAGUUAAGGUCUUUAAACCCAAAGUCUUUGGCGGUACUUUAUUCCAUUCAGAGGAACCUAUCUCGUAAUUGAUAGUACACGAUUAACUUUACUUAAUUUAUUUGUUUGUAUAUCUCCGUUAUCAGGAAAUCUUUUUGGAGUGAAAAUUUUCUUAUUUUUGUAUUAAAAUUUAUUUCAGGUCAAGGUGCGGCUUAUAAUUAAGAGUGUGAUGGGUUACAAUAAUUUUAUUUUAUUAUGGAAUUAAUUUUGUAAUAUUUUAAUGAAGGUGGAUUUGAUAGUAAUUUAAUUAAUUUAAUUUAAUUGAUAUUGGCUCUAAGGUGUGU